CCCUUAGAUGUCCUGGGCUGCACGCGCGCUACACUGAUGUGUCCAGUAAGCACCUAACCUCUUCCGAAAGGAACGGGUAACCUUUGCAAAGCACAUCGUGAUGGGGAUAGAUUAUUGCAAUUAUUAGUCUUGAACGAGGAAUUCCUAGUAAGCACAAGUCAUCAGCUUGUGUUGAUUACGUCCCUGCCCUUUGUACACACCGCCCGUCGCUCCUACCGAUUGAAUGGUCCGGUGAAGCGUUUGGACUAUGGUUUUCUGAUGGUCCGCCGUUGGAUUACCGUGGGAAGUUCGUUAAACCUUAUCAUUUAGAGGAAGGAGAAGUCGUAACA
rnacentral:rRNA from 1 species